CUCAGAACCUCUCCUAGCGGAUUCAAUAAUUAUUUUACUUCACUUGGUUCUUUUUUUGUAUAAUUGCUGAAUUAAAGUAUUCAAUUUAGUUGGUCUAAGGAAUUUUCCAUUUAACACUGGUCUCCUAGGGCUGCUGUAACCAAGUACUGCAAACAAGGUGGCUUAGAACAACUGAACUCUUUUGUCCUACAGUACUGAAGGCUGAAAGUCACAAAUCAAAGUCUGGCCAAGGCCAUGCUGUCUCUGGAACCCAGGGUAAGGACUGUUCCUUGUUUUUCCUAGGUUCUUAUGGUUUAUUGGCAGACUGGAGUGUUCCUUUACAAUCCUCCAUCUUUACAUCCCUCUUCCUUCUGUGUGUGUCUAACUCUGUGUCCAAAUCGCCUUAUUAUUAUUAUUGUUGUUGUUAUUAUUAUUAUUAAUUUUGUGUGUUGGGGAUGGAAUCCAGGGCCUCGUGCAUGCUGGGCAAGUGCGGUACCACUGAGCUACAUCCCAGUCCUCCCCCUUUUAAAAGAACACAGGUCACGUAAGAUUAGGGACCACCUUAAUGAGCUCAUUUUAACUUGAUCACAUCUGCCAAGACCCUGUUUCCAAGGAAGAUCACAGUCUGACGAUAGGAUUUCAGCACAUUUUUUGAGGGGUGGUGGUGGCAGGGAGCAGAGUCAAAAUUCAGCCUGGGAUGCGCUCCAGGUCACAGGGCUUGGUGCUCUGCCUCCUGUGGGAGGGCUCCAGGGUGCUGUCUUCUUCACAUGGUCUCUAUUUUUAGACAAUUGUUGAGCAGGCAGUACCCAGGAAAGACCUGCCCAGGAACCUGUUGUGGUGAUUUCAAGUGCUCUAGGUCCCCAAUGUUACGGGAGGCAGGGACUCCUUCAUCCUCUAUCUGCAUAAAUGCCUCUGUGGGCUCAACAGGGGGGCACCCCACCUGGGAGCCCCCCAGGCUCAUUGCACUAUUGUGUUCAUUCUGACACUCCUCCUCAACUCCUCUUAGGAUGAAAUAAGGUAUAAAAAUAAAUUAAUUGGAUGGCAAUUCCCAGCCAUGGUUUUGUGGCUUAAUGAAGUAGCAGCACAGGGGCAGGCUGUGAGUUCCAGGGACUCAGCGUUACCAUGGCAACGGCAGGGCACCACCUCCCCCACGUGGCCCUUCCCCAGCCUCCAUUAGGAAUGCCAGCUCAGCCUGAUGCCUCUGUCCUCCGGAGAAGCCAUCUCUGAGCCACAGACAGGGCCGUGGCCCUCUGAGAUGCUGACACAAUCCUAGCGCCCUUGGUCACUGAGCUCGCCUGUGGUGGCAUUUCAGGUGUCUGUUUAGUCCCGUCUCUCUAGGAUGUGAGCUCUGGAAGGGUGAGGACCCUACGGCCUUCAUCACAACUCCCACCACCUCUAAUUCAGAACUCCGCCCAUAGUGAUCAGCAGAAGGGAAGAACCUUCGGGGAGCUACCACAGAGAGUGGAGGACCCGCAGUUAUGAGCUCCAGGGGCGUCUCCAGAGCUGCCAUUGUGUGUGGCCACGCGUGCCCACUUACAUUUAAAAGUUCAAGUUCAAAGUAAGAAUUGAAUUAAAAUUAAAUUUUAAUUAGAAUUAAUUAAAAAAUUUAAAUUGAAUUAAAAUUUAAAAUGCACUUUCUCAAUUUCACUAGCCAUACUGCAAGUGCUAGAUAGGCAUGUAUGGCCAGCGACCAUUAUAUUGAACAAUGUCGACUUAGAACAUCCCACCAUCGCAGAAAGUUCUACUGGAGAAUUCUGCUCUAAGAGGACCCCAUAACCAGCAGCCCUGGGAUGCUCUUUGGUUAACUUCAGUCCUAUGUCAGUGAAGCUAUGCAAACUAGAUUGAUUCCUGGAGGGAAAAAGUAAAAUGUGAAUAGUUUCUGACUAUCAGGAUUGUGAAUUAAUAACCACUUACCAGAGAAAAGAAGUUGUGGCCUAAGACAUUCCUCACCAAUCCAUGGCCAAACCCAGACUUUUCUUUUUUUUUUUAAAUAUCUUUCUUAGUUGUAGGUAGACACAAUACCUUUAUUUUAUUUAUUUAUUGAACCCAGGGCCUUGUGCAUGCGAGGCAAGCACUCUACCAGCUUAGCUCUAUCCCCAGCCCCAAGCCCUGACUUUUCUAAUUCUUCUCCUCUGCAUGUGGAGUUCCUCUGCCUGGAAUAUUGUGCUGUGAGAAUACACAUCAUUUACCUAGUUUUUUAGGGUAAGGCCGUGUGCCUUCACAUGGAGGAAUUCAUUCUCCCCUCUCCCUCCCCUCAGCGUGAGUAUGUGUGUGCAUGCACACACGUGCACAUGGGUGUAGAGAAUAGGUCUUCUCAUGCUUACUGCAGCCUAAUUCUUAUUAGACAGUGACAUCAGAAUUGGUAAGUGGAAAAUGUUUUGUGAUUAGCACAGAAGGCAGUAAUCAAGUAGAAUCAAAACUGCUCUGAAAACCUCUUAGAUCUGCCACGAAGCAUGCAUACUUUGUCUCAUUAAUGCAAACUCACAGAUAUUCUUAGGGACAUCUACGUGUAACUACUCUGGGUUAGAAGAGUAAUUCUAGGAGGAUGCUCUUUAGCAGGCAUGCAGGUCUUGAAACCACUUGUCAUGUGUGAUAACCACAAUCCCUGAUAUGGAAGGGACAUUCUAGAUUGUUCCUGAUGGCCAGUAACUGUUUCACUUGUUGUUCUCAAACUGUGGGUCCCUGGGGGCCAGCAGUGUCAGUGUUGCUGGGGAGCUUGUUAAAAAUGCAUAUUCCCGGGCCCCACCCAGACUUACGCAAUUAGAAACUGGCCAUUCAGCUGUGUUUUCCCCUAGGUGAUUCUGAUGCAUUAUAAAUUUGAGAACUGGUUUUAAUAUUUAGCCUCUAUAGUUUAAUAUAGAUGGACAGAUUUGUUUGCCGAUAUGAAGAUGACAGUCUCUGUGACAGAACCCACAUUUUUGCUGGAUUGAGUCGAAGUCCUAAAAGACUAUUUCUUUACAUAGGAAUCUUUUUUUUGGGGGGGGGUGGUACUGAGAAUUGAACUUUGCCUCUGAGUCACACCCCCAGGCCCUUUUUACUAAGUUGCUGAGGCUGACCUUGAACUUGUGCCUCAGCCUCCCAAAUUACUGGGAUUACAGGUGUGCACCACCCUUGCAGAGGACUCUUUGAGGAGCUUGAGAGAAGACUGGCUGCUUACCCGCUGCCUUUCCCAGGUGAUGUUUGCAAUGAACAGAGUCAGGCCAUUCCUUGGACAUUGGUCUCAUCUCAGAAGUAGGAGAUGGGGAAUGAGGCUUUGUUGUCUCCUCAGAACCCGAGGACAUUAAAAUUGAGCAAGGCGGUCUCAUCCUCAUAGCAGAGGGUUCUGCAGGCAGGAAGGGGCCCACAGAAGGCACAGGCUCCCUUGUCAGCACUAGUUGCUCUACGGGCUUCCCCGGCAGCAGAGCAAUUACGGUUUCCUUUAUUGUAGAGUCUUCGUUUAGAUCUUGUCACUUUUAAGAGACAAGCCUUUUGAAAAGAGGUGAAUUCUUCCUAAAAUUUUACUCUGAAGAGGGAUUAGUGCCACUUUCCAGACUAAAGAUAGUAUUGUAUGUGUGAGUUCUUUUAUCCUUUAUUUUUCCCCAAGCAGCUGUGAUAAGCAUGGCCGGAGUACUCCAUGCUCUCUUGCUUCACCAGCAGAACACAAACGUAGCUCCUCUGGGUCUUUUCUCAUUCAGUCCUGCUUUUUUUUUUUUUUUUGUACUGGGCAUUGAACCCAGAGGUGCUUUACCACUGAGCCGCAUCCCAACCCUUUUUAUUUUUUAUUUUGAGACAGGGUCUCACUAUGUUGCUUACAUCCUCGCUAAGUUGCUGAGGCUGGCCUCGAACUUGCGAUCCUCCUGCCUCAGCCCUCCUGAGCGACUGGGAUUACAUUUUGCCUUUUUUAUUUGUCAAGACUUUGGAUUUGACCAGUCAAGGGAAACUCCAUCCACAAACCUGUACAUGUUCCAUUGUUCCAAGAAGGGAUUCUUGCUUUUUCUCUCCGGGUGUGGCAUUUACUUUGAGGAACUAGGCUUUCCUGGCUUUGAUGACAUUUCCAGCUGUGCACAUCCUCUCCCGUUACCUUCCCACGGGCUGACCUGACCUUCACGGUGUCCAAGCCCUUCCUCAUCUGUUUUGGUUUGGGGUUACAAAUGUCUCUUCAGUUCUUUGAAGAUAGAAUUUUGUUCCUGUUUCUUAGUCUCUUUCUUACAUUUGGGUGAUUUCUCAGAGAAAAGGGAAAUUGCCCCCUUCAGACCACAGUUCAAAACCAGAAGGCUUACCCUCAGAGAGUCUUUUGCAUACAAUAUUAUUUUUAGUUUCAAUUCUGCAUCACAUGUAAUCUUUCAAGAGUCAUUUUAAAUCAUGAUGAGGGAACUAAAUCAAAGUUUAAAUUCAACCUUUUCUGGUGCUACCAAUGCAAAUAACUCCAUUGAAGUAACACUCCAGCCCUCCGAUUCUGUCGCUCAUGGCUAAACACGCAUAUUACCUGCAGUGAGAGACAACCACAUCGGGGUACACGUCCCUGCCUGGCAACGGAUAAGCAUCCUUUGACAUAAAUUUAUAAUGCCUCCCCAGAGCAGAAAGGUAAGCAUGGGAAAAAAUGGAGUAUGGCAUUUUGCCCUGCUAUUGGUUCCAAUGUGGUCUGUGCCCACCAAACUCAUGUUCAGGCUUGGUCCCCAGGGUGCUGAUGUUGAGAGGUAGUGCCUUUAAGAAGAUGAAUGCUUUUUUUUCCCAGGAGUGAGUGAGGUCUACUGGAGCACCUUCUUGCUCUCUUGGGACUGGCUACAGUGAAUUUGGCUUCCUCUGCCUGCUCUUUCACUUCCUUUUUUUUGCCAUGUGACCUCCCUCACGUAUUGCUCCAUUUCCACGCAUGCUGCUCACCACUCUUGUCGGAAUUCCCACCAGGUGAGGCCACCCACCAUGUUGUAAUGUAGCUCACACUUUCAGAGGCUCAAAGUCCAAGAUCAUCUCAUCCCGCCUGCUGAGCCUCUAAAAUGGUGAGCUAGGUAAACCUCUUUAUUUCAUAAAAGUGCCUGGCCUAAGGUAUUUUGUUAGAGCAACACAAAAUAAGACAGUUCUUCUAUGGGUUCUGAAAUUUCAGCCUUUGCGAGAGUUGAUGCUGUUUAGCAGAAGGACCUCCCUGGCCUGUUCCGCUACCCAGUCUUCAAGCCAAACCAGAAGAAUCGAACAGCCAAUCGUCCAACUGUGGAGGACCAUAGCAUCCUGUGGCAUGUGACACUUUGUUUUCUGUUUAAUUGAAUGCCAAUUCUUUUAAUUUGGACAUGAAGCCUUCCCCCAGUGUUCUGGCACGCCCAUGGCCUUCCCACUGUCUAGAGAACAUUGCUGAAAUGCAAAGCCCUCCACCCCAAGAAGCCAAAACUCAUUGGAAGGAACUGACCAGUCGAAUUCCUUUCCUUGUGUGAUUUGGUGGCAUCCUCUCCAUCCUCCCUUGCUCCCUGGGACUGGUGGGAGCUGUUUGGCAGGUAUCCCAUAGCUGUGCCAGGGCUCAUUCUCUCUCUACCCGGAACUCUUUUCUUCCCUGAGAAGAAAUCCUGUUUACCUUCCCAAGCCCCACACAGCCUUUCCUGAUUCCUUCUUAUAUGAACUUGCUUUCUACCUUAGGGUCCUAGAAAAAUUCAUUCUAAAUUAGAAGUGAAAUUAAUAACUUAGUAAUAUCAAGAAUAACUCAUUCUGAAUAACGAGAACGGAUACUUUCCCAAACUCAUUGUUAAGAAAAAUAUUUUCAGCCAGGAGCUUCCGACCCGUGGAGGAAAGUUGUUUCCUAAUUUGGAAGACUCCUUCUUGGAUUAGAAACCACUUUCUCACUUUGGAGAAACCACCAGCACAAGUUUGUUUUGUGUUGCAGGAGGGGUCGAGGGCGAAUUUCAAAAACAUUCUGCAGAGCAAAAGAAGCCAGACACAAACGAGUCUAUUUAUAUGAGAUCCUGGAAGAGUCAAAACGAAUCUAUAGUGACAAAAAGCAGAUUGGCCGUGGCCCGGGGCCAGGGUUGGGGAGACGACUGGCUGCAGAGGCUGGGGGACCUUUUGGGGGGAAUGGAAAUGUUCUCUGUCAUGGUUGUGACGGUGGUUACACCGAUGUCUAUUUUUGUCAAAACACAGCAGAUGUAAUUUAUAUGUAAAUUACGCUUCAGUAAAAUCGAUCUAAAAGUGCAAUCUGGGGCCAGGAUCUGAAUGGACAGGAAU
rnacentral:lncRNA from 1 species